GGCCCUCAGUGAUGAUGAAACACAAGCUCAUUGGCCCUCAGUAAUGAUGAAACAGAAGCUCAUUGGCCCUCAGUGAUGAUGAAACACAAGCUCAUUGGCCCUCAGUGAUGAUGAAACACAAGCUCAUUGGCCCUCAGUAAUGAUGAAACACAAGCUCAUUGGCCCUCAGUGAUGAUGAAACACAAGCUCAUUGGCCCUCAGUAAUGAUGAAACACAAGCUCAUUGGCCCUCAGUGAUGAUGAAACACAAGCUCAUUGGCCCUCAGUAAUGAUGAAACACAAGGUCAUUGGCCCUCAGUGAUGAUGAAACACAAGCUCAUUGGCCCUCAGUAAUGAUGAAACACAAGGUCAUUGGCCCUCAGUGAUGAUGAAACACAAGCUCAUUGGCCCUCAGUAAUGAUGAAACACAAGGUCAUUGGCCCUCAGUGAUGAUGAAACACAAGCUCAUUGGCCCUCAGUAAUGAUGAAACACAAGCUCAUUGGCCCUCAGUAAUGAUGAAACACAAGCUCAUUGGCCCUCAGUAAUGAUGAAACACAAGGUCAUUGGCCCUCAGUGAUGAUGAAACACAAGCUCAUUGGCCCUCAGUAAUGAUGAAACACAAGCUCAUUGGCCCUCAGUGAUGAUGAAACACAAGCUCAUUGGCCCUCAGUGAUGAUGAAACACAAGCUCAUUGGCCCUCAGUAAUGAUGAAACACAAGCUCAUUGGCCCUCAGUAAUGAUGAAACACAAGCUCAUUGCCCCUCAGUGAUGAUGAAACACAAGCUCAUUGCCCCUCAGUGAUGAUGAAACAGAAGCUCAUUGGCCCUCAGUGAUGAUGAAACACAAGCUCAUUGGCCCUCAGUGAUGAUGAAACACAAGCUCAUUGGCCCUCAGUGAUGAUGAAACACAAGCUCAUUGCCCCUCAGUGAUGAUGAAACAGAAGCUCAUUGGCCCUCAGUGUUGUAAUAAAUAAACCCUGGCUGUUUUAGAGAACAUUAUCUCUGGUUGGAGGUCAUUAACCUCUUC